ACCUACGGGGGGCAGCAGUGAGGAAUAUUGGUCAAUGGGCGCGAGCCUGAACCAGCCAAGUCGCGUGAGGGAGGACGGCCCUACGGGUUGUAAACCUCUUUUGCCGGGGAGCAACGGGCGUCACGUGUGGCGCCACUGAGAGUACCCGGAGAAAAAGCAUCGGCUAACUCCGUGCCAGCAGCCGCGGUAAUACGGAGGAUGCGAGCGUUAUCCGGAUUUAUUGGGUUUAAAGGGUGCGCAGGCGGAGGUGCAAGUCAGCGGUCAAAUUGCGGGGCUCAACCCCGUACUGCCGUUGAAACUGCAUC
rnacentral:rRNA from 1 species